rnacentral:rRNA from 1 species
UUGACCUCAGAUCAGGUAGGACUACCGCCUGAACUUAAGCAUAUCAAUAAGGCGAGGAACAGAAACCAACAGGGAUUCCCCUAGUAGUGGCGAAUGAACCGGGAAGAGCUCAAGUUUGAAAUCUGGUGUCAACCAGAGUUGUAAGCUGAAGAGGCGUCGACCGACGAUGGACCAGGCUCAAUGAACCUUGGAACAGGCAGUCGUGGAGGGUGAAAAUCCCGUCUAUGGCUUGUGUGCCGUCGUCUAUGUGUCGUGCCCUCGAAGAGUCGGGUUGUUUGGGAAUGCAGCUCAAAAUGGGUGGUAAAUUUCAUCUAAAGCUAAAUAUUGGCGAGAGACCGAUAGCAAACAAGUAGAGUGAUCGAAAGAUGAUAAGUAUCUUGAAAAGGAAGUGAAACAGUACGUGAAAUUGUUGAAAGGGAAGCGUUUGGCAUCAGCCCAUGGCGUUCGAGCAAUCGCGGCCGCUUCUGCGACGUGAUAUUGUCGGACGUCGGGCCAGCGUCGGCUCUGUUAGCUGGAGAAAGGCCUUGGGGAUGUGACACUCUUCGGGGUGUGUUUAUAACCCUUGGCGUCAUACAGUGGACGGGGUCGAGGUCUGCGGUCUAACC